rnacentral:rRNA from 1 species
UACGUAGGUGGCAAGCGUUGUCCGGAAUUAUUGGGCGUAAAGCGCGCGCAGGCGGCUUGGUAAGUCUGAUGUGAAAGCCCACGGCUCAACCGUGGAGGGUCAUUGGAAACUGCUAAGCUUGAGUGCAGAAGAGGAGAGUGGAAUUCCACGUGUAGCGGUGAAAUGCGUAGAGAUGUGGAGGAACACCAGUGGCGAAGGCGACUCUCUGGUCUGUAACUGACGCUGAGGCGCGAAAGCGUGGGGAGCAAACAGG